rnacentral:rRNA from 1 species
GACGAACGCUGGCGGCGUGCUUAACACAUGCGAGUCGAACGGAAAGGCCCUGCUUGCAGGGUAAUCGAGAGGCGAACGGGUGAGUAACACGUGGGUGCGCUGGCCUCCUCUUUGGGAUAAGCCUGGGAAACGGGGUCUAAUACCGGAUAGGAGCCAUCAUUCUUGGGUGGGUUGGAAAGUUUUUUCGGUGUAGGAUGAGUCCGCGGGCUACCGGCUUGGUGGUGGGGUGAUGGCCUGCUAAGGCGGCGACGGGUAGCCGGCCCGGAGGGGGGGACGGCCACACUGGGCAUGGGAUACGGGCCAGACGCCUUCGGGAGGCAGCAGUGGGGGAUGUUGCACAAAGGGCGCAAACCCGAUUGAAGGACGCCGGGGUGGGGGAGACUGCCCUCCGGUUGUAAACUCCUUUCGCUAGGGACGAAGGUUUUUGUGACGGUACCGAGUUAAGAAGCACCGGCUAACUACGUG